GAGUGCAGCUGUAGGAGAAACACUUGACCCUGAGGAGGUCACCACCUUGGCACAGGUCGUGCAAUUUGGCUUGAUGGAUCACGUUGCACUGUUCCAAGAAGUGUCCGAUUGUGCCAGACGUGAAAUGGCUUUGCACCAAAAGCUUUUGGCCAUGAAGGAGGAGUGGAGGGAGAUCGAGCUGCCUUGCGUGCCUUACAGGGACGCAGGGGUUGCUACCCUGGGACCACUCGACCAUAUACAGCUCAUGCUUGACGACCAUAUUUUGCGUGCUCAGACGAUGCACAGUUCGCCAUUCGUGCGCGCUUUUGAGGACGAAAUGCAAGCGUGGGAGGACAAAUUAAUUUCCAUGCAGGACAUAAUUGACGCAUGGCUAACGUGUCAAGCGCUUUGGCUUUAUUUGGAGCCAAUUUUUAGCUCCGACGACAUCAUGAGGCAAAUGCCGACUGAAGGUGCGAACUUCGCCCGAGUAGAUCAGUCGUGGAGGCGUAUAAUGCAGCACACGCAGAGCAAUUUGAGCGUUUUAAUCGCCACCGACAUGCCAGACAUGCUUCAAACUCUACGCGAGUGCAACAAAACAUUGGAACAGAUACAAAAGGGCCUGAAUGAGUAUUUGGAAAAGAAACGAAACUUUUUUCC